rnacentral:rRNA from 1 species
ACGGGUGAGUAACACGUGACUACCUACCCUCGAGUGGGGAAUAACCUCGGGAAACCGGGGCUAAUACCGCAUAAUGUCUUCGGACCAAAUGCGUAAGCAGCUUGAGGAGGGGGUCGCGGCCGAUUAGCUAGUUGGUGAGGUAAUGGCCCACCAAGGCAAUGAUCGGUAGCCGGCCUGAGAGGGCGCACGGCCACACUGGAACUGAAACACGGUCCAGACUCCUACGGGAGGCAGCGGUGGGGAAUUUUGCGCAAUGGGGGAAACCCUGACGCAGCAACGCCGCGUGGAGGAUGAAGCCCCUUGGGGUGUAAACUCCUUUCGAUCGGGACGAUUAUGACGGUACCGGAUGAAGAAGCACCGGCUAACUCUGUGCCAGCAGCCGCGGUAAUACAGAGGGUGCAAGCGUUGUUCGGAAUUAUUGGGCGUAAAGGGUGCGUAGGCGGUGCGGUAAGUCUCUUGUGAAAUCUCCGGGCUCAACCCGGAGCCUGCAAGGGAAACUGCCGUGCUUGAGUGUGGGAGAGGUGAGUGGAAUUCCCGGUGUAGCGGUGAAAUGCGUAGA